rnacentral:sRNA from 1 species
CUUAGUCUUUGGUCUUUUAUUUCAUUUCUAGAUUCUUCCUCCCCACACCGUUUCAGUCUGUCGACCCACCUUUUCUCUCUGCAUGCUUCCCCACCGUGUGAGACUGUAAAUUGUUUCUCCAAAUAGUUUACCCAAAACACCGCCAUCACUGAUUCAUCCAAAUCCAUUAAUUCGCAGAAUCGCGCCGCAUAACCAGUCAACAAAGCAGAGCUCUCUUCGUCCACGGCAACCCAUCGGUCCACCUCAACGCCGCGUGUGCAACAACUAGCACAAUCCCAACCAGCAGCGGCACCCAAACAUUCACCGUCGCCUGUAAAGAACAGCGGUAGAAUCCAUUUUGCUAAAGAAGAUGAGCAAGCUGUUGUUUGGUUUUGGCCGGAGAAAGGGAAGCCACAUGAAUGCCCAGUCCAGUUUUCCAACAUAAUACACUCUGAAUCGGAAGGAGAAGAAGAAACAGUUACAGUGUGUCAAAGUUUGUUACUUUUUUGGUGGCCUAAACGUUUUCCAAAGUUGUUAGAAGUUGGGCAUCAAAAAAGUUCAUGACAGGAUGUUAUGGUCUUGCGGUUUGACGUUGCUGAGCCUGAGCUAAGUUAUUGACAGCCCACCUCGCCCCGCGAAUCGCCCAACUUGCAAGGCAGGAAGUUUACCACGUGAUCUCAACCUCCUCAUCAUCGGCAGCAGCAGCGGCGACCACCAGUGUUCUGAGUGAUCAUUGAGCUGUGAUAGGUUGGUGUUGGAUUCUGUAAAACAGUUUUACUUUGGAUGUUUUUUUGGUAGCAUAAGGCCUCGAUAACGAGCAACUCUCUCUCUGGUGCCUUUCCUUCUUUGGCCAACCUCUCUUCCCUCCAAGAA